GUCCCUAUGUGUCUCCAUGGCAUCCCUAUGGGUCGCUAUGGGUCGCUAUGGGUCGCUAUGGGUCGCUCUGUGUCCCCAUGUGUCGGUGUGUGUCCCCCUGGUGGCUGUGUGUCUCUAUGUGUCUCAAUGUGUCUCUAUGGGUCCCUAUGGGUCCCUAUGUGUCUCCAUGGCAUCCCUAUGUGUCCCUAUGGGUCGCUAUGGGUCGCUAUGGGUCGCAAUGUGUCGGUGUGUGUCCCCCUGGUGGCUGUGUGUCUGUAUGUGUCCCUAUGUGUCUCCAUGGGGUCCCUAUGGGUCCCUAUGUGUCCCUAUGUGUCCCUAUGUGUCUCCAUGGGGUCCCUAUGUGUCCCUAUGGGUCCUUAUGGGUCCCUAUGUGUCCCUAUGUGUCUCUAUGUGUCCCUAUGUGUCCCUAUGUGUCCCUAUGGGUCUCUAUGUGUCCCUAUGUGUCCCUGUGGGUCCCUAUGUGUCCGUAUGUGUCCCUACGUGUCCCUAUGUGUCCCUAUGUGUCUCCAUGGGGUCCCUAUGUGUCUGUAUGGGUCCCUAUGGGUCUCUGUGUGUCUCUAUGUGUCUGUACGUGUCCCUAUGGGUCCCUAUGUGUCCCUAUGUGUCUCUGUGUGUCUCUAUGGGUCCCUAUGUGUCCCUAUGGGUCCCUAUGUGUCCCUAUGUGUCCCUACGUGUCCCUACGGGUCCCUAUGUGUCCCUAUGGGUCCCUAUGUGUCUCUAUGUGUCCCUAUGGGUCCCUAUGGGUCGCUAUGUGUCCCUAUGUGUCUGUAUGUGUCCCUAUGUGUCUCUAUGUGUCCCUAUGUGUCUCUAUGUGUCCCUAUGUGUCCCUAUGUGUCUCCAUGGCAUCCCUAUGGGUCCCUAUGGGUCCCUAUGGGUCGCUAUGGGUCGCUAUGGGUCGCAGUGUGUCGGUGUGUGUCCCCCCGGUGGCUGUGUGUCUGUAUGUGUCCCUAUGGGUCUCUAUGGGUCCCUAUGUGUCCCUAUGGGUCCCUAUGUGUCUCCAUGGGGUCGCUAUGGGUCUCUGUGGGUCGCUAUGGGUCCCUAUGGGUCGCUCUGGGUCGCUAUGGGUCCCUAUGGGUCUCUGUGGGUCGCUAUGGGUCGCAAUGUGUCGGUGUGUGUCCCCAUGGUGGCUGUGUGUCUCUAUGUGUCUCAGUGUGUCCCUAUGGGUCCCUAUGUGUCCCUAUGUGUCCCUAUGUGUCUCUAUGUGUCUCAGUGUGUCUCUAUGUGUCCCUAUGUGUCCCUAUGUGUCUCCAUGGCAUCCCUAUGUGUCUCCAUGGCAUCCCUAUGUGUCCCUAUGUGUCCCUAUGUGUCUCCAUGGGGUCCCUAUGAGUCGCUAUGGGUCGCUAUGGGUCGCAAUGUGUCCCCAUGUGUCAGUAGGUGUCCCCAUGGGUGGCUGUGUGUCUCUAUGUGUCUCAGUGUGUCUCCAUGUGUCUCUAUGUGUCUCUAUGUGUCCCUACGUGUCUCUAUGUGUCCCUAUGUGUCUCCUUGGGGUCCCUAUGGGUCGCUAUGGGUCCCUAUGUGUCCCUAUGGGUCCCUAUGUGUCUGUAUGUGUCCCUACGUGUCCCUAUGGGUCCCUAUGGGUCUCUGUGUGUCUCUAUGGGUCCCUAUGUGUCCCUAUGUGUCUGUAUGUGUCUGUAUGGCUCUCUAUGUAUCCCUAUGGGUCUCUAUGGGUCUCUAUGGAUCUCUAUGGGUCACAGUGGCUCUCUACGUUUCUCUAUGGUUCUCUAUGUGUCCCUAUGUGUCCCUAUGUGUCCCUAUGGGUCCCUAUGUGUCCCUAUGUGUCUCUAUGGGUCUCUGUGUGUCUCUAUGGGUCCCUAUGUGUCCCUAUGUGUCUCCAUGGCAUCCCUAUGUGUC
rnacentral:lncRNA from 1 species